rnacentral:lncRNA from 1 species
AUGAGUGACAGUCCAAAAGCCCUUAAAGAAGCUGUCAUUUUAGCAAAUGAGGAGCCAGUGCACAACGAAGAUCCCGAAGAGAAUUGCAGUGAAGGUAUUCAAAACAUGCAAGAUAUCCAACCAGGUCCCAGCCAGCUGCCUGAAGAGUCCAAUAAAGCGACGCAGAAGGGAGCCAAGUCAGGAAAGCGCAAGCCUAAUAGUAAGAAAAGCCCCAAUCCGAAACGCAAGAAGAAGCUCAAAAAAUGUAAAAAUUAUGAUUUCCUAGCUGAACUUUUGGAAUUUGAAGAUAUCCCAUUAAGUGUGAAAGUCAUCUUGCAAAAGGAUGAUGCUCUGGAAGUUCUGAGUGGAGAAGAAAUCGACACUAUUUUUGAGAAUCUCUCAGAUACUGUCAAAGCUGCAGCCGAGCUCAUCUUCGAGAACCUGAAAAAUGAAGUUGCUCUGAAGUGGUUGAAAGCAGUUUCUCAGUUAGCUGUGUGCAUUAUUGAGAAUCUACCAGCUGAUGAGCCAAUCAAAGAGUCUAUCUCUCAUGUAGCGACUUUGCUUGGCCUUCUUCUGAAGUUGGAUUUGGAUUCAGAUGUAAGUAAUCAAAGUUUUAAGAUUUCUCUUUUUAGUUUUUUUGGGCGGGUCUAAAUUUGUUGGUGAUUUUACCACACAGAAACAGUAUAAUUACCCACCUUCAUUUAAAAAGUACAAAUUUUCGAAAGGUGGUGUGGAAGUUAGGACAAUUUACGAAAUUUCUGUGAGAGUAUACAUACUGACGUAUGGUAUUUUCACACUGAACUGCUGGAAUGUAUUAUUUCUCUACAUGGUUCAUUUUAUUACAUUCUUAAAAAAUCUCAACUCAAUUGAUCACUUGCGUAAGUGAGAGGACCUCAAUAUGGACUUUCCAAAUGGGAAGCCAGCUUGUGUUAGUAUAAUAGUAGCGUAUUUAAUAUCAAAUUGAGAUAAAAAUUGCGUGCAUUUUGUUCGUGGUGUCUGCAGUGAAAAUCAGGACAAUUUCCAGGUAAAUUUUUGGAACUUCUUGGCUUUGUUUUUCCCGCGAAAUGGUGUGGACCUAGCACCAUUUCUCUACCUUGUUACAAACAGUUCAGGACACUUCUUAGUGUUUUUUUUUUCAUUUGCAGGUAAACUGCAAUAAAAAGUCAUUAUGGUGCACUUAUUGAGAAAAAAGGUUUUUUAAAAUGAGGAGGCUAAGGACUCUCUGCAUUCCUAACUAAAAGUGCUGUCAAAUUUGAAAGUUGAGGAUCAAAGAGCUUACAUCCAAAUUUUUUUUCCAGGAGGGAUAUGCCAGAUAAUUAUCAAUUUCUUGCACCUUUUUCAGGUCGACAAACAGCUUAAUAGACACCUCUUUAAAUUAUUGUUUUUUUGUUUUUUUUCAGCUUAAACAAAGCAUUGCAGAAGUUUGCUCUCUAUUGUUGGUUUAAAAAUUGCGAAUUUUCUGAUCAAGUAUUUUUCUUAACAAUGAAUUCUGUGAUAGACCUCAUUCUGAAGUCGCCAGCAAAAUCACAAUGCUGUGUAAGUGAUCACUUUUUUUUAUCUUAUUCAGCCUCUAUUUUUCUAUAAUUGCCACGUUUUUCAAUACAACUCGUAGCUUCCAAUACACAUUUGGAGCUCCGUAAUGAAUUUGUGAUGGCACCUAAUAGUCCUUUGAUGCUUCAUGUGUCAUGCCAUCAGCAAUUAUUUUACUCUUUCUUUUCUUCUUUUAACUUCUCCUGCCUUUUUGAUUUCAUAUUUAUGAAAAUCCAUAAAACAGGGUUGCCAGCGACCGGAAAAACCGGGAAAAGUCAGGGGAAAAAAAAUCAACCGGGAAAGAUCAGGGAAAGUCAGGGAAUUUCGGUGUUGGUCAGGGAUUUUUUUCUGAUUUUUCGUGGAAUCAGGCUCGGGCGGUAUCGGGCUCACGUUGAAAUUUAAAUAGUCGAAAAUAGCUCUCAUUUUCACUUUAACAAACUACGUCAGAUCCAUACUUAAAAGUCUGGGAAUGGAAAAAAAUAAUUUGGCUGGCAACCCUGAAAAUGGAGUCUUGCAACUCUGACAAAUAUGAAUCCUAUUAUAAUUUAUAAGUAUAUUCAUUGAAUGUGAGCCCCAAAUCAGCGAUGCAUUUUUGACUUUACAUUAUUUAUUUCAUACUGUCAAAACUCCUGUUGGAAUCUUGUUUUCCAUCUAGUAAAAAUUGGUUCAAAAUUCAAUCCUGGCUGUAUGAAAAAGACAUCCAUCCCCUCUUUCACCCUGUGUAUAACAUACAUUUUUCUUCUUCAUGUCAAUUUUAUUUUUAUUAUAAUUAAGCGGAACAAAAACAGAACACUUCAAACAUCCUCUCAUAGUUUCUCCAUACAAAAAAAUCUAUGCAAUUGUCUCCAUCAAAACCAUCUUUUCACAGAACUAUCUGAAGGUAGGUUGGUUACCAUGCGCUGAAUUUAAAGCAUUUGUGUAUUUUUCUAUUCAUCAGAAAAAAUUUGUCAAAAUACUGCACUCUCUUGAACGAGUGAUAGCAAGGCUGCAGAUAACAAGCAAAGCGUGCGAGCCUCUCGUGGGUAAAUUCAUCAACAUCACUCAGUGCAAGGAUAUCAUGACAAUUAAGGAAGCAAAAGCUUUCGUGUCGUUUUACUCACAAUGGACCUAACAUUGCUCCCAGUAAGUCAAGUUUGAAUUUUCAGAGUCUCUCUAUCUAUCGAAAAAAUAUGUCUAUUGACAGGUUAGAUUCUACAUCUUUAAAUGUCAAGAUUUCUUCAAAUGAAAAGCCUCUCUUAGUUAAUCAAACCA